UGCUUCAGUGGCUUCCUCAGUGUUAUUUAAGCAAAUGAAAUAUGCUUGCUUCUAGCUCUGUUUAUGCGAUUUUUUGUAGUGCUUUAGUGAGAGAAUGUAUUUUAAUAACUUUAUGUACUUUAUAGAUAGUCAGGGAUACUUGUGACAAUAUUUUUGCAGCCAUAUAUUAAAACAAGCAUCGCAUUCUGGACGGGGUCAGAUUGCCCGACCCUUGCUGGCAGAAUCCUUUGUAUUUGAUGCCAGCUCGGCUAAGUUAAAUACAGUUAAAGCAAAAUCGCUUUCUUAUGAACAUGAAGAUCUUGGAGGGGCAGUGGGAGUGUGGCUGGAGAGGAUGUUUUUGAAAGGGUUAUAUACUAAGGUGUUUUUUAUGCCGCUUGACAGAAGCAAGAUUUGGAAACUGGUGGCCCCAUAAAUGGACUGGAGAGUCCAAACAACACUUGGAUGGCCUCUCUGUUCUACAGACAUUAUGCUGGUGGUUGAUACGAGUUCCAUUUUGCAGAGAUCAACGCAGGCUCCAUUCUGCUGUCUGUCUCACCCCCAGGCAGGGCUCUCUUUGUUCACCUGCCAACUCCUGAAGGCGUUUUGGGUCUUGACCACUGGCCUGGCUCCUCCAUUUGACGUCCUGAAGAGAUGGUCAGCCUUAAUCUUCCAUGGAUGUUACAUUCAUUGCAAAAUAAACUAAGUCUACCCUAGCAGUCCAAGUCUGGUAACAUGGAACAAAUACUGGCCUAGGAAUCAGAAGGGUUCAAGAACUCCGUCUAACACACACAACUGAGUGAUCUCAGGAUGGUCAGCUAACUUCUCUGCCUCUGUUUGCUCAUCUCUGAGAUAACAUGCCCUGCUACGCUCACAGAGUCAUUGAGGAAACCAAAUAGUGUAAGUAAUGUGAAAGAAAACUCUGAAGACCAGGAAACUUCUGGAACGGGAUGGAUUAGUGACCAGUUACUACUGAUUAUGCCCAUUCGGAUGGGUUGGUACCUGCAUCAGACCAGUUGUUAAAUAUUUUGAGUGUCGCCCCAGUGGUUGUCUGGAGUGACGGACAAGCACACGGUUGUCGAAAUACAAACCUAUUGGAUUUACUUUAUGAUACUUCAAUGCAAGAAUUCACACACACCUGAUAUUACCGUUUGCUUCCUCCUUUGUAGGAUCUGAGGCAUUUGAGAAAGACUGAGAUUCAGGAGGAGUGUGGGGGCCCAAAUGUGGUCCGGAUGGUCAUUGGAGGACUAUGAAUCUCUUAAUGUCAUGUCACCAGCUGUAGCGGGUUGAAUGGUGCCCCCCCCCAAAAAAAGAUAUGUCUACCUUCUAACUUUUAGAACCUGUGAGUGUGACCAUAUUUGGAAAAAAGACCUUCACAGAUGUAAUAAUACGUUAAGGGUUCCGAGACGAGAUCAUCCUGGAUUAUCCAGGUGGACCCUGAAUCCCAUGACAAGUGUUUAAGACAGAUGAGAAGCCACCGGAAACCGGAGGAGGCCAACCAGGACUCUGCCCCUAGAGACUUUGGCCCUGCCCGCCAUCUUGGUAUUGGACUCCUGGCCUCCAGAACAAAAUAAAUUUCAGUUCUCGUAGACCA
ensembl:lncRNA